rnacentral:lncRNA from 1 species
AGGACACUGUUUUCCAUGUAUCUUGGGCUGCUGCUAGGAUCUUUGUAGUACUUUUAGGUAUCUCAGACCAUUUGAUGCUCAGUAUAACUUCAGUUUGUGAGGAACUGAAGGAUGGGGGAGAUGAGAACAGGAUCCAGAUCUCCCAUUUCUACGUACUGCAGAGAUGGGGAAGAAGCUGCACAGGUGUGGCACGGCUGCCUUUCCUGCAGAUGCCCUGCUGCUGCUUGUUGCAGGCAGAAUCUCGAAUGGGGCAGUUACUCAGUCUGCCUUUGCGAGGCAGUAAUAAGCGGUGAGGCCAUGGACAGACCUUGCUGACCUGGAGGACCCUUCUCAGCCCUCACUGCUGGAGGGCUGGAGCAGACUUGAAGAGGGACAUUCUCUACACACAUGAACUGCAGCCUCCCUUGUGUCACCAUGGCUGCAGGUAGGAGCUCACCUGUCUGUCGUGUCAUACCUGCUCUGGGGUCUCCAGUUAUCAGUCGGCAUCUUCCACAAGCUCCAAAGUCUCAUCCUCUCUUCUGCUGGCAAGGAAGAGGACCAAAACUGGUUGGAUUUAACACAGAAUGGAGUAAAGAAGCCUGAGUGCUAUGAUGCACGUAAGGAGAGAUAACACAUUGUCUUUACUAUUUUUCUCUCUCUCAUCCUUCCCCUUUUGCAGUGUUGGUGGUGGUGACCAUGUACAUCUCUGUCUUGGGCUGGCGGCUCAUGCCAGAGUGGAAAAAAAAGCAUGAGGAGCGUGCUAGGGCAGGAGAAAGGAUAGAUUUGUGGGGGAGAAGGGUGGUUUGAUAUAGUGAACAUAGAAGCUGUGGUCUUUUGUCUAUGCAUUGCUUCAGCAUAGUUCUGCAUCUCUAAGGCCUUCACCCUUCUGUCUCUGCGGCUCAGAAAGAUGGUUUAAAGCUUAUUCUUGGUUCAUGGCAACAUCUGAAGGCCAUUCAUGGUUUGUACCUCUGCUGUAUUUGGUUCUCCGUUUUUUUUUUUUUUUUUUUGGAAAAGCAGUGCCCCUGUCAUGGAGGAGGGGGGGACAAGCAGCACCAGGAACCUGUCUGGGGGGGUGUGACACAAGGCACAUGGCUGUGUGAUAUGGCAGACCAGCCCUGUGACUGCGAGAUAACGUCUGGUCUACAGCAGCUCUGACUGCAGGUACAUAAUUCAGUUGCUGGAUGGGGAGACGGGGGGGAAAACCCAGAAGAAUUUUAAAAUCUGCUUGAAAAAAAAAAAAGCUCCUGGCCCUCUGGCUGCAUGCUGAACCAGAAAAA